GGCCUGAUGGUGUAAUGGUUAACACACCUGCUCGAAUUUCCGUAGAGAAUGAAUUAUAUAGCAGGAGAUUCCUUGUUCGAAUCAAGGCUAGGCCA